rnacentral:tRNA from 1 species
CCAGAAGGGAAAGAUUCUAACUCCCACCACUAACUCCCAAAGCUAGUAUUCUAAACUAAACUACCUUCUG